CGCUCGCACACAUAGACAAAGACAAACGCACACAUACAAAAGAGCACCACUCUGAGUCACGUUUAAGAUACGGAGCACAAAGGCCUGGUGUUUUAUGGGUCAUUUGACUCCACCUUCUUAAUCAUUAUUAUCAUUAUCUGAAAUUUGACAGGUGUGUGUCGUAUGUGUGUGUGUGUGUGUGUCGUGUGUGUGUGUGUGUCGUAUGCGUGUGUGUGUGUCGUGUGUCGUGCGUGUGUGUCGUGUGUGUGCUUGGACCCAUGCAUGAACCAUUCGUUGUCUACCAGCCAUUGACAGACAACAAGCCCAUGAAGAUAUAUCAACUGCUGUCCCUCUUCAUGUCUUCAAAAUGAACUCUAGUUUAGGAAAAAGGACAUAUUAGGUCAUUGUAGUCAUUUACGACGUGAAGAAAGCAGACAAUUAUUAUCGAAAGAACAACCGAAAAACAGAAAAGCUUUCGCUUGUUCGUAAAAGAGGCGUUUCCAUACUGUCUGUCAGAGCAUUAUCCCUCCAAACAUUGCCCCGUAUUGUCUUGUUCGUAAAAGAGGCGUUUCCAUACUGUCUGUCAGAGCAUUAUCCCUCCAAACAUUGCCCCGUAUUGUCUUGUUCGUAAAAGAGGCGUUUCCAUACUGUCUGUCAGAGCAUUAUCCCUCCAAACAUUGCCCCGUAUUGUCUUGUUCGUAAAAGAGGCGUUUCCAUACUGUCUGUCAGAGCAUUAUCCCUCCAAACAUUGCCCCGUAUUGUCUUGUUCGUAAAAGAGGCGUUUCCAUACUGUCUGUCAGAGCAUUAUCCCUCCAAACAUUGCCCCGUAUUGUCUUGUUCGUAAAAGAGGCGUUUCCAUACUGUCUGUCAGAGCAUUAUCCCUCCAAACAUUGCCCCGUAUUGUCUUGUUCGUAAAAGAGGUGUUUCCAUACUGUCUGUCAGAGCAUUAUCCCUCCAAACAUUGCCCCGUAUUGUCUUGUUCGUAAAAGAGGCGUUUCCAUACUGUCUGUCAGAGCAUUAUCCCUCCAAACAUUGCCCCGUAUUGUCUUGUUCGUAAAAGAGGCGUUUCCAUACUGUCUGUCAGAGCAUUAUCCCUCCAAACAUUGCCCCGUAUUGUCUUGUUCGUAAAAGAGGUGUUUCCAUACUGUCUGUCAGAGCAUUAUCCCUCCAAACAUUGCCCCGUAUUGUCUUGUUCGUAAAAGAGGUGUUUCCAUACUGUCUGUCAGAGCAUUAUCCCUCCAAACAUUGCCCCGUAUUGUCUUGUUCGUAAAAGAGGUGUUUCCAUACUGUCUGUCAGAGCAUUAUCCCUCCAAACAUUGCCCCGUAUUGUCUUGUUCGUAAAAGAGGUGUUUCCAUACUGUCUGUCAGAGCAUUAUCCCUCCAAACAUUGCCCCGUAUUGUCUUGUUCGUAAAAGAGGCGUUUCCAUACUGUCUGUCAGAGCAUUGUCCCUCCAAACAUUGCCCCGUAUUGUCUUGCGUAGCAGUAAACUCCGACGCUCUUUUUUUUUUUUGUCCCUUUCCUAGAAAAUACUUUUGCACCAAAGUCUCCUCCAUUUGUCUUAUAAGCCACUUUCAGUAAACUCAUUAGUCUGUAGCUACCCCUUAUC